GAUGAACGCUGGCGGCGUGCCUAAUACAUGCAAGUCGAGCGAACGGACGAGAAGCUUGCUUUUCUGAUGUUAGCGGCGGACGGGUGAGUAACACGUGGAUAACCUACCUAUAAGACUGGGAUAACUUCGGGAAACCGGAGCUAAUACCGGAUAAUAUUUUGAACCGCAUGGUUCAAAAGUGAAAGACGGUCUUGCUGUCACUUAUAGAUGGAUCCGCGCUGCAUUAGCUAGUUGGUAAGGUAACGGCUUACCAAGGCAACGAUGCAUAGCCGACCUGAGAGGGUGAUCGGCCUCACUGGAACUGAGACACGGUCCAGACUCCUACGGGAGGCAGCAGUAGGGAAUCUUCCGCAAUGGGCGAAAGCCUGACGGAGCAACGCCGCGUGAGUGAUGAAGGUCUUCGGAUCGUAAAACUCUGUUAUUAGGGAAGACCAUAUGUGUAAGUAACUGUGCACAUCUUGACGGUACCUAAUCAGAAAGCCACGGCUAACUACGUG
rnacentral:rRNA from 1 species